rnacentral:rRNA from 1 species
GCAGCAGCCGCGGUAAUACAGAGGGUGCGAGCGUUAAUCGGAUUUACUGGGCGUAAAGCGUGCGUAGGCGGCUUCUUAAGUCGGAUGUGAAAUCCCUGAGCUUAACUUAGGAAUUGCAUUCGAUACUGGGAAGCUAGAGUAUGGGAGAGGAUGGUAGAAUUCCAGGUGUAGCGGUGAAAUGCGUAGAGAUCUGGAGGAAUACCGAUGGCGAAGGCAGCCAUCUGGCCUAAUACUGACGCUGAGGUACGAAAGCAUGGGGAGCAAACAGGAUUAGAGACCCCGUAGUCCCUGUCUCUUAUACA